rnacentral:ncRNA from 1 species
AGGAACUCUGGAGAAUCUCAUUUAUUUGAGUGCCGAAGGUGCAAGGUCGUCAGACCGAAUCUCUCAGGCCAAAGGACAGAGUGGA